UACGUAGGGGGCUAGCGUUGUCCGGAUUUAUUGGGCGUAAAGAGCGUGUAGGCGGCCAGGUAGGUCCGGUGUGAAAACUCGAGGCUUAACCUCGAGAUGUCAUCGGAAACCAUCUGGCUAGAGUCCGGAAGAGGAGAGUGGAAUUCCUGGUGUAGCGGUGAAAUGCGCAGAUAUCAGGAAGAACACCAAUGGCGAAGGCAAUCCCCUGGGCCUGCACUGACGCUCAUGCACGAAAGCGUGGGGAGCAAACAGG
rnacentral:rRNA from 1 species